AUUGAACGCUGGCGGCAGGCCUAACACAUGCAAGUCGAGCGGAUGAAGGGAGCUUGCUCCUGGAUUCAGCGGCGGACGGGUGAGUAAUGCCUAGGAAUCUGCCUGGUAGUGGGGGAUAACGUCCGGAAACGGGCGCUAAUACCGCAUACGUCCUGAGGGAGAAAGUGGGGGAUCUUCGGACCUCACGCUAUCAGAUGAGCCUAGGUCGGAUUAGCUAGUUGGUGGGGUAAAGGCCUACCAAGGCGACGAUCCGUAACUGGUCUGAGAGGAUGAUCAGUCACACUGGAACUGAGACACGGUCCAGACUCCUACGGGAGGCAGCAGUGGGGAAUAUUGGACAAUGGGCGAAGGCCUGAUCCAGCCAUGCCGCGUGUGUGAAGAAGGUCUUCGGAUUGUAAAGCACUUUAAGUUGGGAGGAAGGGCAAUAAGUUAAUACCUUGCUGUUUUGACGUUACCAACAGAAUAAGCACCGGCUAACUUCGUG
rnacentral:rRNA from 1 species